CUCGCUUUAGCUCAUCCGGUAGGGCAACGGACUGUAGUUCCGUAGGACGUCGGUUCAAAUCCAAUACGUGAGA